UCAUCUGGAUCAGACCUAAAUCCUAAGCCGGCAGCCACAAAUGAAGAAUAUCAGAAACCCUAAUGAAGCUCAUAGAUGUUUACUGCGAUGAGGUGACGUGCUGGUCGAUUUUGCCUUCCCAAUCAAAGCAAAGGGGCACAACUUCUUUUCACGUCGACACAACAAAGGCCCUUAAACGUGAAAAGAAGUCUUGCACCUUUCAUUUGCAAGUUUUGGAUCGCAAAUUCGUCCAACACAUCAUCUGCAUCGUAGCCGACAUCUGCAAAUUCUUGCUGGUUUUGUGAAAUUUGAGGAGGUUGCUGGUGAUUUGUGUUAGGCUGGAUUUCAUAUUGUACCUGAAUGGCAGGUUAUGUAAGCAUUUCUUCAAUUGCCAGGCCAAAAUACUUCCAUUGAAUGAGGCUCUUAAUGAAUUGUAUUGAAGUUGAUUAGCUUCUGUGUUAAUUUUUCUUUCUCUUAAUGCAGUGAAGCAAGAAGUAGAACAAAACACCUUUUCUGAAAUUAGUUUACCAAAAUGAUGGCCUUUAGGGACUCAGUAUAUGAAAGCCAGAAUGGUUUCUACCAAUUAUUGGACAGAGUCUUGAAAUGAGCUUGUGUAAAACAUGUUGGAGACUCCAAUGGCCUAGUUUGGAACUUACCGACAUUGUAUCCCAUCAUGUACAAAAAAGCAGUAGUCUGGAACUGUGUAUAUCAUUAUAUGAAUUGUAAAGUUUCACAGCCAAAAUUUACAAUUGCAAUGUCAUUUUGCACUGAAUCAAA